GAUGAACGCUGGCGGCGUGCCUAAUACAUGCAAGUCGAGCGAACGGACGAGAAGCUUGCUUCUCUGAUGUUAGCGGCGGACGGGUGAGUAACACGUGGAUAACCUACCUAUAAGACUGGGAUAACUUCGGGAAACCGGAGCUAAUACCGGAUAAUAUUUUGAACCGCAUGGUUCAAAAGUGAAAGACGGUCUUGCUGUCACUUAUAGAUGGAUCCGCGCUGCAUUAGCUAGUUGGUAAGGUAACGGCUUACCAAGGCAACGAUGCAUAGCCGACCUGAGAGGGUGAUCGGCCACACUGGAACUGAGACAAGGUCCAGACUCCUACGGGAGGCAGCAGUAGGGAAUCUUCCGCAAUGGGCGAAAGCCUGACGGAGCAACGCCGCGUGAGUGAUGAAGGUCUUCGGAUCGUAAAACUCUGUUAUUAGGGAAGAAAAUAUGUGUAAGUAACUGUGCACAUCUUGACGGUACCUAAUCAGAAAGCCACGGCUAACUACGUG
rnacentral:rRNA from 1 species